GCCCUCUUAGCUCAGUUGGUAGAGCAACGCAUUCGUAACGCGUAGGUCGUCGGUUCAACUCCGACAGAGGGCUCCA
rnacentral:tRNA from 3 species